rnacentral:lncRNA from 1 species
AUUUAGUGGAACUUGAGACUGGUCAAGAUGUUGUUGUUGACAGGAUCAGCCAAAUGAUCUAAAAGGUUUUGAUAUGGUCCAACACCUGUAACAAGACCUUGAACAAAGUAACCCAAUAUUGCCAACAUAGCUAACCUUCCAUUCUUAACUUCUUUCAGCUUUAACUCUUUCAAUGAUUUCUCAUCUUUACCAAAACCAAGAGGGUUAAAGAAAGGUCCACCAGGGUAAGCUGGUUCACCAGAACCACCAAGACCUUUUUCAAGUCCUAAGAAGUAUUGUUUUCCCAUGGAACCAGGGUUAUACCAAUCUUGGAAUCUUCUAUGUUCUGCAAAUCCCAUAAGUGCCAGUUCUAAGACAAAGAGUGUGUAAUUGUCUGCCCAGUAGUUGUAUGUUCCUGCUGGUGGAAUAACACCGGUUUGGAACCAAGCGAGAGCGGUUUCUUGUGGAAUUAAACCGGCUUUGCCGAGGAUUUCAGGUGCUAUUGCUCCUACUGCUCCCAACAUUGCGUAGCGACCAUUGAUUAUCUCGCCGUAUGCUAGCCAUCUUGGCUCAAUAAAACCUCCUGUUCCUUCUGGAUCUGAAAGUCCUAGAGGAUCAAAUCCAUAGUCACCUGGAAGGCUGCAGGUGAUGAUGAUGAUAAUGUCAAAUGAAGUCAAUUUUGAUUCUCAACACAUUGUGUUACCAAACAAAGUUGCAUAUACAUUACCGGCUUAAAGAGUUUUUACACUAUCAAUUAAUCAUAACUGUCAAAUCAUUAGAAACGUUCGACUUUUAUGAUAACCACUUCUAAAAUCAUACACAUGGACUCUAUUUGGGUAAAUAACUUAAUUAAAAGCUUAUAGUAUAAACGCUUAUCAUAUAAGUGUUUAUGUGUAAGCUAUUUCUAUAACAAAUGGUAAAAUAAAACAAUUUUCAUACAAGUUAUAAGUUGUAUUCAUAAACUACCUUAGAAAACUUAUGAAAUAAACUAAGAACAUCUUAUAGACAUGUCAUAAGUUGUUUUCAUACGUUCUCUCAAACAUCUUAUAGACAUGUCAUAAAAAUAGAUUAUACUUAAUCAUAUACAAUAAUAAUCACUUAAUUAGACAGUUAACUCAAGACACACUAUAGGUUCUUAGACUCACAAAACAUCCAUCUUACAAUAUAUUUUCUUCAACUACUAAGAAAUUUACCUG